UACGUAGGGGGCAAGCGUUGUCCGGAAUUAUUGGGCGUAAAGAGCGUGUAGGCGGCCAGAUAAGUCCGCUGUGAAAUCUCGAGGCUCAACUUCGAGCUGUCGGUGGAAACUAUCUGGCUAGAGUCCGGAAGAGGAGAAUGGAAUUCCUGGUGUAGCGGUGAAAUGCGCAGAUAUCAGGAAGAACACCCGUGGCGAAGGCGGUUCUCUGGGCCGGAACUGACGCUGAGGAGCGAAAGCGUGGGUAGCAAACAGG
rnacentral:rRNA from 1 species